rnacentral:rRNA from 1 species
CCUACGGGUGGCAGCAGUGAGGAAUAUUGGUCAAUGGACGAGAGUCUGAACCAGCCAAGUAGCGUGAAGGAUGACUGCCCUAUGGGUUGUAAACUUCUUUUAUAUGGGAAUAAAACGUUCCACGUGUGGGAUUUUGUAUGUACCAUAUGAAUAAGGAUCGGCUAACUCCGUGCCAGCAGCCGCGGUAAUACGGAGGAUCCGAGCGUUAUCCGGAUUUAUUGGGUUUAAAGGGAGCGUAGGUGGAUUGUUAAGUCAGUUGUGAAAGUUUGCGGCUCAACCGUAAAAUUGCAGUUGAAACUGGCAGUCUUGAGUACAGUAGAGGUGGGCGGAAUUCGUGGUGUAGCGGUGAAAUGCUUAGAUAUCACGAAGAACUACGAGUGCGAAGGCAGUUCACUGGACUGCAACUGACACUGAGGCUCGAAAGUGUGGGUAUCAAACAGGAUUAGAUACCCCAGUAGUC